rnacentral:lncRNA from 1 species
UUUGAACUUUGUUUGUGGUGUUUUUGAACUUGAGUUUUUGAUGUUUUUGAACUUGAGGGUGUGUUGUGUUUUUGAACUUGAGUUUGUGGUGUUUUUGAACUUGAGUUUGUUUCGUGUUUGAACUUGAGUUUGUGGCGUUUGUUGAACUCUAGGUUGUGGCAAUUGUUGAACUUGAGAUUUGGGUUUUGGUUCAACUUAAAAGUUUGGCAUUUGUUGAACAUGAGUUUGUGUGUUUGUUGAACUUAAGUUUGUGUCUUGUUUGAACUUAAGUUUGUGUCUUGUUUGAACUUGAGUUUGUGGUGUUUUCAAACUUGAGUUUUUGGUGUCUUUGAACUUGAGUUUUUGGUGUUUUUGAACUUGAGUUUGAAUCGUGUUUGAACUUGAGUUUGUGGUGUUUUUGAACUUGAGUUUGUGGUGUUUUUGAACUUGAGGUGUUGGAAAUUGUGAAACUUGAGAAUUGGGUAUUGGUUGAACUUGAGUGUGUUUUUUGAACUUGAGGUUGUGGUGUUUUUGAACUUGAGUUUGUGGUGUUUUGUACUUGAGUUUGUGUUAUUUUUCAACUUGAGGUUGUGGAACUUGUUAAACUUGAGAAUCAGGUGUUGAUUGAACUUGAGUAUUUGUUUUUUUUUAACUUGAGUUUGUGUCGUGUUUGAGCUCGAGUUUGUGGUGUUUUUGAAUUUGAGUUUGCGUGUUUGUUAAACUUGAGUUUGUGUUUUUUUAACUUGAGUUUGUUGUUUCUGAACUUGAGUUUGUGGCAAUUGUCUAACUUGAGUUUGACAUUUGUUGAACUUGGGUUUGUGGUUUUUGUUGAACUUGAGUUUGUGGUGUUUUUGAACUUGAGGUUGUGGAAUUUGUUAAACUUGAGAAUUGGGUAUUGGUUGAAAUUGAGUUUGUGUGUUUGUUGAACUUGAGUUUGUGUCGUGUUUGAACUUGAGUUUAUGUUUUUUUUGAACUUGAGUUUGUGGUGUUUUUGAACUUGAGGUUUUUAGAAAUUGUUGAACUUGAAAAUUUGGUAUUGGAUGAACUUGAGUUUGUGUGUUUGUUGAACUUGAGUUUGUGUCGUGUUUGAACUUUGGUUUGUGGUGUUUUUUGAGCCUGAGGUUGUGGUGUUUUUGAACUUGAGUUUGUGUUGCUUUUGAACUUUAGGUUGUGGCAAUUUCUAAAAUUGAGAUUUGGGUGUUGGUUGAACUUAAAAGUUUGUCAUUUGUUGAACUUGAGUUUGUGGUUUUUGUUGAACUUGAGUUUGUGUCGUGUUUGAACUGUAGGUUGUGGUUUUUUUGAGCUCGAGUAUUUGUGAUUGUUGAACUUAAGUUUUUGGUGUGUUUGAACUUGAGUUUGUGUUUUUUUUUAAGUUGAGGUUGUGGUUUUUUGAACUUCAGUUUGUGGAAAUUGUUAAACUUGAGGAUUGGGUGGUGGUUGAACUUGAGUUUGUGGUGUUUUUAGAACUUGAGGUUGUGGUGUUUUUGACUUGAGUUCGUGGCGUGUUUGAACUUCAGUUUGUGGAAAUUGUUAAACUUGAGGAUUGGGUGUUGGUUGAACUUGAGUUUGUGGUGUUGUUUGAACUUGAGUUUGUGGUGUUUUUUGAGCUUGAGGUUGUGGUGUUUUUGAGCUUGAGUUUGUGGCAUGUUUUAACUUGAGGUUGUGGAAAAACGUAAACUUGAGAUUUGGGUGUUGAUUGAACUUGAGUUUGUUUCGUGUUUGAUCUUGAGGUUGUGGUGUUUUUGAACUUGAGGUUUCUUGUUUGUUUAACUUGAGUUUGUGUGUUUUUUGAACUUGAGUUUGUUGUUUCUGAACUUGAGGUUUUGGCAAUUGUUGAACUUGAGUCUGUGGUUUUUAGUGAACUUUAGUUGGUUGCAAUUGUUGAACAUGAGUUUAUGGCGUUUGUUGAACUUGAGUUUGUGACGUGGAUGAACUUGAGUUUGUGUUAUUUUUGAACUUGAGGUUGUGGCAAUUUCUAAAAUUGAGAAUUGGGUGUUGGUUGAACUUAAAAGUUUGACAUUUGUUGAACUUGAGUGUGGUUUUUGUUGAACUUGAGUUUGUUUCGUGUUUGAACUUGAGGUUGUGGUGUUUUUGAACUUGAGGUUUCUUGUUUGUUUAACUUGAGUUUUUGGCGUGUUUGAACUUGAGUUUGUGGUUUUUUUAACUUGAGGUUGUGGUUUUUUGAACUUCAGUUUGUGGAAAUUUUUAAACUUGAGGAUUGGGUGGUGGUUGAACUUGAGUUUGUGGUGUUUUUUUAACUUGAGGUUGUGGUGUUUUUGACUUGAGUUCGUCGCGUGUUUGAACUUGAGGUUGUUGCAAUUGUUAAACUUGAGAUUUGGGUGUAUGUUGAACUCCAGUUUGUGUUGUGUUUGAACUUGAGGUUGUGGUAUUUUUUAAUUGAGUUUGUGGCGGUUUUUGAACUUGAGUUUGUGGCGUGUUUGAACUUGAGAUUGUGGCGUGUUUGAACUUGAGUUUGUGGUGGUUUUUGAACUUGAGGUUGUGAAAAUUGUUAAAACUAUAGAAUUAGGUGUUGGUUGAACUUGAGUUUGUGGGGUUUUUUUAGCUUGAGUUUGUGGUUUUUGUUGAACUUGAGUUUGUGUCGUUUUUGAGCUUGAGGUUGUGGUGUUUUUAAACUUGAGUUUGCGUGUUUGUUUAACUUGAGUUUGUGUGUUUUUUUAACUUGAGUUUGUUGUUUCUGAAGUUGAGGUUUUGGCAAUUGUUGAACUUGAGUCUGUUGUUUUUAGUGAACUUUAGUUGGUGGCAAUUGUUGAACUUGAGUUUGUGGCAUUUGUUAAACUUGAGUUUGUGACGUGUUUAAACAUGAUUUUGUGGUGUUUUUGAACUCGAGUUUGUGGUGUUUUUGAACUUGAGGUUGUGGAAAUUGUUAAACUUGAGAAUUGGGUAUUGGUUGAACUUGAGUUUGUGUGUUUGUUGAACUUGAGUUUGUGUCAUGUUUGAACUUCAGUUUGUGGUGUUUUUGAACUCGAGUUUUUGUGUUUAUUGAACUUCAGUUUGUGUCGUGUUUGAACUUGAGUUUGUGGUGUUUUUUGAACUUGAAGUUGUGUGUUUUUUUGAACUUGAGUUUGUGGCGGUUUUUGAACUUGAGGUUGUGGCAAUUGUUGAACUUGAGUUUGUGACGUGUUUGAACUUGAUUUUGUGGUGUUUUUGAACUUGAGUUUGUGGUGUUUUUGAACUUGAGUUCGUGGUGUUUGUGGAAUUUGAGUUUGUGUCGUGUUUGAACUUGAGGUUGUGGUGUUUUUCAACUCGAGUUUUUGUGUUUGUUGAACUUCAGUUUGUGUCGUGUUUGAACUUGAGUUUGUGGUGUUUUUUGAACUUGAGUUUGUGGUGUUUUUUGAACUUGAGGUUGUGGUGUUUUUGACUUGAGUUCGUGGCGUGUUUGAACUUGAGGUUGUUGCAAUUGUUAAACUUGAGAUUCGGGUGUUGGUUGAACUUAAAACUUUGCCAUUUGUUGAACUUGAGUUUGUGGUGUAUGUUGAACUCCAGCUUGUGUUGUGUUUGAACCUGAGUUUGUGGCGGUUUUUGAACUUGAGUUUGUGGCGUGUUUGAACUUGAGAUUGUGGCGUGUUUGAACUUGAGUUUGUGGUGGUUUUUGAACUUGAGGUUGUGAAAAUUGUUAAAACUUGAGAAUCAGGUGUUGGUUGAACUUGAGUUUGUGGUUUUUGUUGAACUUGAGUUUGUGGUUUUUGUUGAACUUGAGUUUGUGUCGUGUUUGAACUUGAGGUUGUGGUGUUUUUGAACUUGAGGUUUCUUGUUUGUUUAACUUGAGUUUGUGUGUUUUUUGAACUUGAGUUUGUUGUUUCUGAACUUGAGGUUUUGGCAAUUGUUGAACUUAAGUCUGGUUUUUAGUGAAAUUUAGUUGGUUGCAAUUGUUGAACAUGAGUUUAUGGCGUUUGUUGAACUUCAGUUUGUGACGUGGAUGAACUUGAGUUUGUGUUAUUUUUGAACUUGAGGUUGUGGCAAUUUCUAAAAUUGAGAAUUGGGUGUUGGUUGAACUUAAAAGUUUGACAUUUGUUGAACUUGAGUUUGUGUGUUUGUUGAACUUGAGUUUGUGUCGUGUUUGAACUUGAGGUUGUGGUUUUUUUGAACUCGAGUUUUUGUGUUUGUUGAACUUCAGUUUGUGGAAAUUUUUAAACUUGAGGAUUGGGUGGUGGUUGAACUUGAGUUUGUGGUGUUUUUUGAACUUGAGGUUGUGGUGUUUUUGACUUGAGUUCGUGGCGUGUUUGAACUUGAGGUUGUUGCAAUUGUUAAACUUGAGAUUUGGGUGUUGGUUGAACUUAAAACUUUGCCAUUUUUUGAACUUGAGUUUGUGGUGUAUGUUGAACUCCAGCUUGUGUUGUGUUUGAACUUGAGGUCGUGGUAUUUUUGAAUUGAGUUUGUGGAGGUUUUUGAACUUGAGUUUGUGGCGUGUUUGAACUUGAGAUUGUGGCGUGUUUGAACUUGAGUUUGUGGUGGUUUUUGAACUUGAGGUUGUGAAAAUUGUUAAAACUUGAGAAUCAGGUGUUGGUUGAACUUGAGUUUGUGGUUUUUGUUGAACUUGAUUUUGUGCUUUGAUUGAACUUUAGUUUAUGUUUUUUUUGUACUUGAGUUUGUGUUGUUUUUGAACUUGAGGUUGUGGAAAUUGUAAAAACUUGAGAAUCAGGUGUUGGUUGAACUUGAGUUUGUGGUUUUUGUUGAACUUGAGUUUGUGUGUUUUUUUAACUUGAGUUUGUUGUUUCUGAACUUGAGGUUUUGGCAAUUGUUGAACUUGAUAAUUGGGUAUUGGUUGAACUUGAGUUUGUGUGUUUGUUGAACUUGAGUUUGUGUCGUGUUUGAACUUCAGUUUGUGGUGUUUUUUUGAACUUGAGGUUGUGGUGUUUUUGAACUUGAGUUUUUGGUGUUUUUGAACUUGAGGUUGUGGCAAUUGUUGAACUUCAGUUUGUGACGUGUUUGAACUUGAUUUUGUGGUGUUUUUGAACUCGACUUUGUUUUGUUUUUGAACUUGAGUUCGUGGUGUUUGUUGAACUUGAGUUUGUGUCGUGUUUGAACUUGAGGUUGUGGUGUUUUUGAACUCGAGUUUUUGUGUUUGUUGAACUUGAGUUUGUGUCGUGUUUGAACUUGAGUUUGUGGUGUUUUUUGAACUUGAGGUUGUGGUGUUUUUGAACUUGAGUUUGUGGCGGUUUUUGAACUUGAGGUUGUUGCAAUUGUUGAACUUGAAAUAAAAACCCAAAUAUGAACCCAAAUAUAUAUUUUUUCUUUUUACAUUUUUUUGGUGUAACCAACUCCAAAAGGUCUUAAACAUGUUCCUAAAAAGGUUUUGGACAGUGAUUUUAACCCUAACACCAAAAACCUUAAACCUUACCCUAGCCCCAAAACCUAAUACCCGGGUAUUACCUUCAGGAAGCCCGAACACCCCAAAUUUUUUUUUUUCUUUUUUUUUUUUUCUAACUAACUCCCAAAGGUCUGAAACAUGUUCCUUAAAAAAUAUUGGACAGUUAUUUUGACCCUAACGCCAAAAACCUUAAACCUAACCCUGGCCCCAAAACCACCCGGGUAUUACCUUCAGGAAGCCCGAACACCCCAAAUAUUUUUUUUUCAUUUAUCUUUUUUUUUUUGUCUAACUUUAUCCCAAAGGUUGGAAAAGAAUUCCUACAAUGGUUUUGGACAGUGAUUUUUACCCUCACGCCCAAAAACCUUAAACCUUACCCUAGCCCCAUAACCUAAUACCCGGGUAUUACCUUCAGGAAGCCCGAACACCCCAAAUAUAUAUUUUUAUUUUCAUUUUUUUUUCGUCUAACUAACUCCAAAAGGUCUGAAACAUGUUCCUUAAAAAAUAUUGGAGAGUGAUUUUAACCCUUACGCCAAAAACCUUAAACCUAAUCCUAGCCCCAUAACCAAAUACUUAAACCUGAAGGGUAUUACCUUCAGGAAGCCCGAACACCCCAAAUAUUUUUUUUGUCAUUUUACAUUUUUUUUUGGUGUAACCAACUCCAAAAGGUCUUAAACAUGUUCCUUAAAAGGGUUUGGACAGUGAUUUCAACCCUAACGCCAAAAACCUUAAACCUUACCCUAGCCCCAAAACCUAAUACCUUCAGGAAGCCCGAAAACCCCAAAUAUUUUUUUUUUUUUUUUUUUUUUUUUUUGGUCUAACUAACUCCAAAAGGUCUGAAACAUGUUCCUUAAAAAAUAUUGGACAGUGAUUUUAACCCUAACGCCAAAAACCUUAAACCUAAUCCUAGCCCCAUUACCUAAUACCCGGGUAUUACUUUCAGGAAGUCAGAACACCCCAAAUAUUUUUUUUUCAUUUAUCUUUUUUUUUUUUGUCUAACUUAAUCCCAAAGGUUGGAAAAGAGUUCCUACAAAGGUUUUGGACAGUGAUUUUUACCCUCACGCCCAAAAACCUUAAACCUUACCCUAGCCCCAUAACCUAAUACCCGGGUAUUACCUUCAGGAAGCCCGAAAACCCCAAAUAUAUAUAUAUAUAUUUUCUUUUUUUUUGUCUAACUAACUCCAAAAGGUCUGAAACAUGUUCCUUAAAAAAUAUUGGACAGUGAUUUUAACCCUGACGCCAAAAACCUUAAACCUAAUCCUAGCCCCAUAACCUAAUACUUAAACCUGAAGGGUAUUACCUUCAGGAAGCCCGAACACCCCAAAUAUUUUUUUUGUCAUUUUACAUUUUUUUUGGUGUAACCAACUCCAAAAGGUCUGAAUCUUGUUCCUUAAAAGGUUUUGGACAGUGAUUUUAACCCUAACGCCAAAAACCUUAAACCUUACCCUAGCCCCAAAACCUAAUACCUUCAGGAAGCCCGAAAACCCCAAAUAUUUUUUUUCUUUUUUCUUUUUUUUUGGUCUAACUAACUCCAAAAGGUCUGAAACAUGUUCCUUAAAAAAUAUUGGACAGUGAUUUUAACCCUCACGCCAAAAACCUUAAACCUAAUCCUAGCCCCAAAACCUAAUACCCGGGUAUUACCUUCAGGAAGCCCGAACACCCCAAAUAUUAAUUUUUCAUUUUUUUAUUGGUCUAACUAACUCCAAAAGGUUGGAAAAGACUUCCUACAAAGGUUUUGGACAGUGAUUUUAACCCUCACGCCAAAAACCUUAAACCUUACCCUAGCCCCAUAACCUAGGGUAAAGCCCCUUUACCUAAUACCCGGGUAUUACCUUCAGGAAGCCCGAACACCCCAAAUAUUUUUUUUUCAUUUAUCUUUUUUUUUUUGUCUAACUAACUCCAAAAGGUUGGAAAAGACUUCCUAUAAAUGACUAACUCCAAAAGGUUGGAAAAGACUUCCUACAAAGGUAAUACAAAGUAUUACCUUCAGGAAGCCUGAACACCCCAAAUUUAUAUAUUUUUUUUUCUUUUUUUUUUUUUGGUCAAACUAGCUCCAAAAAGUCUGAAACAUGUUCCUUAAAAAUAUUGGACAGUGAUUUUAACCCUAACGCCAAAAACAUUAAACCUAAUCCUAGCCCCAUAACCUAAUACUUAAACCUGAAGGGUAUUACCUUCAGGAAGCCCGAACACCCCAAAUAUUUUUUUUUUCAUUUAUCUUUUUUUUUUUUGUCUAACUAACUCCAAAAGGUCUGAAAAGAGUUCCUACAAAGGUUUUGGACGGUGAUUUUAACCCUUAAACCUUACCCUAGCCCCAUAACCUAAUACCCGGGUAUUACCUUCAGAAGCCCAAAAACCCCAAAUAUAUUUUUUUAAUUUUUCGUUAGUUUUUGCUCUAACUAACUCCAACCUUACCUUCAGGAAGCCCGAACACCCCCAAAAAUUUUUUUUUCAUAUUACAUUUUUUUUGGUGUAACCAACUCCAAAAGGUCUGAAACAUGUUCCUAAAAAGGUUUUGGACAGUGAUUUUAACCCUUACGCCAAAAACCUUAAACCUUACCCUAGCCCCAUAACCUAAUACCCGGGUAUUACCUUCAGGAAGCCCGAACACCCCAAAUAUUUUUUUUUCAUUUAUCUUUCUUUUUUUUGUCUACCUAACUCCAAAAGGUUGGAAAAGACUUCCUACAAACGUUUUGGACAGUGAUUUUAACCCUAACACCAAAAACCUUAAACCUUACCCUAGCCCCAAAACCUAAUACCUGGGUAUUACCUUCAGGAAGCUUGAACACCCCAAAUAUUUUUUUUUCAUUUUACAUUUUUUUUGGUGUUACCAACUCCAAAAGGUCUUAAACAUGUUCCUAAAAAGGUUUUGGACAGUGAUUUUAAACCUAACGCCAAAAACCUUAAACCUUACCCUAGCCCCAUAACCUAAUACCUGGGUAUUUCCUUCAGGAAGCCCGAAGACCCCAAAUAUAUUUUUUCAUUUUUUUUUUUUUUUGGUCUAACUAACUCCAAAAGGUCUGAAAAGAGUUCCUACAAAGGUUUUGGACGGUGAUUUUAACCCUUAAACCUUACCCUAGCCCCAUAACCUAAUACCCGGGUAUUACCUUCAGAAGCCCAAAAACCCCAAAUAUAUUUUUUUUAUUUUCCGUUAAUUUUUGCUCUAACUAACUCCAAAAGGUUGGAAAAGACUUCCUACAAAGGUUUUGGACAGUGAUUUUAACCCUAACGCCAAAAACCUUAAACCUUACUAUAGCCCCAUAACCUAAUACCCGGGUAUUACCUUCAGGAAGCUUGAACACCCCAAAUAUUUUUUUUUUCAUUUUACAUUUUUUUUGGUGUAACCUACUCCAAAAGGUCUGAAACAUGUUCCUAAAAAGGUUUUGGACAUUGAUUUUAACCCUAACGCCAAAAACCUUAAACCUAAUCCAAGCCCCAUAAACUAAUACCUGGGUAUUUCCUUCAGGAAGCCCGAAGACCCCAAAUAUAUUUUUUUCUUUUUUCUUUUUUUUUGGUCUAACUAACUCCAAAAGGUUGGAAAAGAGUUCCUACAAAGGUUUUGGACAGUGAUUUUAACCCUAACACCAAAAACAUUAAACCUUACCCUAGCCCCAAAACCUAAUACCCAGGUAUUACCUUCUGGAAGCCCGAACACCCCAAAUAUUUUUUUUUUCAUUUUACAUUUUUUUUUGGUGUAACCAACUCCAAAAGGUCUUAAACAUGUUCCUAAAAAGGUUUUGGACACUGAUUUUAACUCUAACGCCAAAAACCUUAAACCUUACCCUAGCCCCAUAACCUUAUACCUGGGUAUUACCUUCAGGAAACCCGAACACCCCAAAUAUUUUUUUUCUUUUUCUUUUUUUUUUGUCUAACUAACUCCCAAAGGUCUGAAACAUGUUCCUUAAAAAAUAUUGGACAGUUAUUUUAACCCUAACGCCAAAAACCUUAAACCUAACCCUAGCCCCAAAACCUAAUACCCGGGUAUUACCUUCAGGAAGCCCGAACACCCCAAAUAUAUAUUUUUUAUUUUUCUUUAUUUUUGGUCUAACUUGCUCUCAAAGGUUGGAAAAGAGUUCCUACAAAGGUUUUGGACAUUGAUUUUAACCCUAACGCCAAAAACCUUAAACAUUACCCUAGCCCAGAAACCUAGUAUUACCUUCAGGAAGCCCGAACACCCCAAAAAAAUUUUUUUUCAUUUUACAUUUUUUUUGGUGUAACCAACUCCAAAAGGUCUGAAACAUGUUCCUAAAAAGGUUUUGGACAGUGAUUUUAACCCUUACGCCAAAAACCUUAAACCUUACCCUAGCCCCAUAACCUAAUACCCGGGUAUUACCUUCAGGAAGCCCGAACACCCCAAAUAUUUUUUUUUCAUUUAUCUUUUUUUUUUUUGUCUAACUAACUCCAAAAGGUUGGAAAAGACUUCCUACAAAGGUUUUUGACAGUGAUUUUAAGCCUCACGCCAAAAACCUUAAACCUUAACCUAGCCCCAUAACCUAAUACCCGGCUAUUACCUUCAGGAAGCCCGAACGACCCAAAUAUAUAUUUUUUCUUUUUCUUUUUUUUUUUGGUCAAACUAGCUCCAAAAGGUCUGAAACAUGUUCCUUAAAAAAUAUUGGACAGUGAUUUUAACCCUUACGCCAAAAACCUUAAACCUAAUCCAAGCCCCAUAACCUAAUACUUAAACCUGAAGGGUAUUACCUUCAGGAAGCCCGAACAACCUAAAUAUUUUUUUUUUCAUUUUACAUUUUUUUUUGGUGUAACCAACUCCAAAAGGUCUGAAUCUUGUUUCUUAAAAGGUUUUGGACAGUGAUUUUAACUCUAACACCAAAAACCUUAAACCUUACCCUAGCCCCAAAACCUAAUACCUUCAGGAAGCCCGAAAACCCCAAAUAUUUUUUUUUCUUUUUCCUUUUUUUUUGGUCUAACUAACUCCAAAAGGUCUGAAACAUGUUCCUUAAAAAAUAUUGGACAGUGAUUUUAACCCUAACGCCAAAAACCUUAAACCUAAUCCUAGCCCCAAAACCUAAUACCCGGGUAUUACCUUCAGGAAGCCCGAACACCCCAAAUUUUUUUUUUUCAUUUUUCUUUUUUUUAGUGGUCUAACUAACUCCAAAAGGUUGGAAAAGACUUCCUACAAAGGUUUUGGACAGUGAUUUUAACUCCACGCCAAAAACCUUAAACCUUAACCUAGCCCCAUGAGGGGAGUCACGCGACGUGAUGCGAGAGGAAGCCACGGAGUAGGGAGCUCCGCACUUCAUCGCUAUCUUUAUCCUGUUUAAUAUCAACACCAGAUAUAUUAUCACUCAGACUAAGUACUUUUAGUUGAAGGGGGUGCUAAAAAUGUUGAAACUUUCUAAGACUUCAGGCUGUGGAGACAUAAAAAGACUACUACGGUCUCAGGGGGCCGACGCCAUGAUGCAAGAUGGAGCUAAAGCGCCCGAGCAGCAGCAAGCUAACGACUUAGCUCAAGAUAUUAGCAACAUCUACUCAAUGCUUACAAAGAUUUCUGAAGAUCUCGGGGGGCUCGCAGAAAUACGUCGCACCACAGCGUCGGUGGAAGCUAAACUAUCAUCCCUUAUUACAAGAAUGGACGACGUAGAGAAACGAGUGGAGUACUUGGAAGUGACUGAGCAGGGCUGGCAAGCUAACCCGCCAGCUAACAAGGCUGAUAUCGCACAGAUAUGGGACAAAUUAGAGGACAUGGAGAAUCGCUCAAGGCGUAACAACGUUCGUUUCGUCGGCUUUCCGGAGGGUAAGGAGGCAGGAGACGUGGUGAGAUUUCUGGAGGAGCUGUUGCCGAGUCUGCUAAACAUCGAGGGGAGACGGGAGAUUGAACGGGCCCACCGGGUCCCGAGCCAGAGACCAGCGCCAGGCGACCGGCCCAGACCAAUACUGGCCCGGUUUUUGAGAUCGUCGGACCGGGAUGCGGUGAUGAGAGCAGCGAGGAACAAAGGCAAGCUGACCUGGGGGAAUACUACUGUCAUGCUUUUCCCCGAUUACUCCAGGGCCACCCAGAUGAAGCAUGAGAAAUUCAAAGAUUGCAAGAAAAAACUGCACGACCGAGGGGUUGGUUUCAGGAUGCUGUUCCCAGCUAAGCUGAGAAUUGAGACCGGCAGCGGUGAGAAAGCUUUUGAGUGCCCACGGAAAGCCAUGGCCUUCAUAGAUGCUUUGCAGUGAGUAUUGAUGGAUGGAGGUGUUCAUAUUGGUAUCCUGCGCGCCCAAACGUCUGCUGAGGACACUGGUGUUGCCUUAUUUUCCUGUGCAGUAGCGGUGAGUGAGGGAUCACGACAAGUGGAGCCACGCGGACCUGACACGGACCGUCAGACCUCGGCUAGAGGGACUUUUGAGGGGGUUAGAAUGUGCAAAGUUCAGGUUUAAUUGCACUAAAUUUGUGUUAUUUAUUAUUAUUAUUAUUUUCUUUUCUUGGGGGAGGGGGCGGGGUACAGUCGCCACCACUGUAAGGAUAUUGCUUUUGAUAAACGGCCAUGUGUUAUCGAUGAUUAGGCAGACAUGUCUUCACAAUUAAAUUUAAUGCGUCUCUCCACUUGGAAUGUUAAUGGUUUGGGGAAUCCCGUCAAGAGAAAAAGGUGAUGGCCAUCCUUAAGGCCAAAAAAUAUGAUGUGGUGUUUCUUCAAGAAACUCACAUGUCAAAAGAAGAAUCUGAGAAGCUCUGUGUAGGAUGGGUUGGACAUGUUUUUUACAGUGUAGGCUCCAGCAAGAGUAAAGGGGUUAUAAUUUUAGUAAGUAAACAUCUACAAUUUAAGUGUCUCAAGCAAAUAAGAGAUAAUACAGGUAGGAUGAUUAUAGUACUGGCUGAAAUACAGUUGCAGAAACUAAUUUUGGCCAAUAUAUAUGCUCCUAAUCUGGAUGAUCAAUCUUUUUCUCUGAUCUUGAAGGGAAGUUACAAAUACUGGGGGCUCAGCCCGUUGUUCAUGGAGGAGACUUUAAUCUGUUAAUGGACCCAGUGCUUGAUCACAGUGGGGCAAUGUUGCGUAAAAUGCCAAAAGCCGCUUUGACACUACAAAGAAUUUGCAAAUCUUUAGGAUUGAUAGAUAUCUGGAGGCUCAUGAACCCGUCAGGCAGGGAUUAUACUUUUUACUCAUCAGUACAUAAGAUUUAUAGCCGAAUAGAUUUUUUCCUAAUAUCCAAAGAGCUCAGUCCCUGUGCAGUGAGAUGUGAAAUAGGGUCUAUUUUGAUCUCUGAUCAUGCUACUGUCAGUUUGGACUUGUUACCGCAAGAUGAGAGAAGAAGGUCUUAUAGAUGGCGUCUAAACUCGUCACUUUUACAGGACCCAGCAAAUACAGAAUGGUUGAGGACCGAACUUAAAAGUUAUUUAGAGAUCAACUGGCAGUCUGUAUCAUCAGCUGGCGUGGCAUGGGAGGCCCUAAAGGCAGUGGUUAGAGGACGUAUAAUCCAACACACAUCAUACAAUAAGAAAAAUAAAACACGGGAGCUGCUAGAAUUAGAAAAUAAAAUAAAACAGGUUGAAACAGAGCUGAAGCAACAAUUAACACAAAAUGGCAUGAAAAAAUUGACAAAACUAAAAUAUCAAUACAAUAACUUAAUAACCCAUAAGAUUGAAUUUAACUUAUUCAGGGCAAGACAAACCUAUUUCGAGUCAGGAGAUAAAGCAGGAAAGCUACUUGCCAGUUAUAUAAAACAGAGGGAGUUGGCUUCCACUAUUCCUGCUAUUAGAUUGCAGUCUGGAGACCUGCUUACUGCAACGGUAGACAUUAAUCAGGCUUUUAAGGAAUUUUAUAGUAAUUUAUAUAGUUCAAACUGUACCUCUGAUGAAGAAGAAAUUCAUAGCUUUAUAGAACAGUUAGGACUCCCAAAACUGACGGAUGAACAGAGGGAUUUUCUUGAUUCAGAUAUUACUAUUGAGGAAAUUAAAGGGGUAAUUAAGGCAUUGCCAACAGGCAAGGCACCGGGGCCGGAUGGCUUCACGGGGGAAUUCUUUAAGUGCUUUGCCUCGGAACUAGCUUCACCUUUACUGGAGGUAUAUAGGGAGGCGCUGGGGAGAGGGGUGUUGCCACCCACUUUGAGACAGGCCCUCAUUAGUCUAAUUCCUAAGAAAGGUAAAGAUUGGAAGGAAUGUAAGAACUAUCGUCCGAUAUCAUUAAUGCAAAUCGAUGUUAAGAUAAUUUCUAAAAUUUUAGCAAACCGUUUAGACAGCAUAAUUACAUCAUUGAUCCAUAGUGAUCAGGUAGGAUUCAUUCGUGGUCGUAGCUCCUCCGAUAAUAUAAGACGCCUCAUUGAUGUCAUGUGGUCGCUGGCUGACACCCAGUCCCCAGUUGCUGCAAUCUCGUUGGACGCCGAAAAAGCGUUCGACAUGGUAGAAUGGGGGUUUCUAUUUAAAAUCUUAGAAGAAUUUGGAUUUGGUAUUACAUUUAUAAAAUGGAUUCGUAUGUUAUAUAAACAUCCAGAAGCAGCAGUUCAGACUAAUGGGCUCAUAUCAGACUACUUUAUGUUGGGCAGAGGAACUAGACAGGGGUCACCCCUCUCUCCUUUGCUUUUUUGUUUAGCUAUUGAGCCACUAGCAGCAGCCAUACGUAAAGCAAAUGAUUUCCCAGGGGUCACCAUAGGCGGGAAGGUCCACAAGUUGAUGUUAUAUGAGGACGAUAUUUUAUUACUGGUUUCCGAACCCAGAAGAUCUGUGCCAUGCUUGCUUGGAAUCAUAAAUACCUUCUGAAAACUGUCCGGCUAUAUUUUUUAUUUUUAUUAUUUUUUUGGUCUAACUUGCUCUCAAAGGUUGGAAAAGAGUUCCUACAAAGGUUUUGGACAUUGAUUUUAACCCUAACGCCAAAAACCUUAAACAUUACCCUAGCCCAGAAACCUAAUAUUACCUUCAGGAAGCCCGAACACCCCAAAUAUAUAUUUUUUUUCUUUUUCUUUUUUUUUGGUGUAACUAACUCCAAAAGGUCUGAAACAUGUUCCUAAAAAGGUUUUGGACAGUGAUUUUAACCCUCACGCCAAA